AAAGAAUGUAUUUUUGCACGGCUUGUGUUCGACGUUUUACUGUUCGUCCUAUCUAAAAAAGGUUUUACGAUUAUUAUUUUUGUUGUUACGAGAUGAUAAAACAUAAAUACUAUUUUAUGUGUCACUAUUAUUUAGAAAAAAACCAUAAUUUUUUUAAAUAAAAUGAACUAUCAAACGUUGGACAUAAAAAUCUACCAAUGUAGUUAAA
rnacentral:pre_miRNA from 1 species